UACGGGGGGGCGAAGCGUUGUCCGGAUUUACUGGGCGUAAAGAGCGCGCAGGCGGUCGUUCAAGUCGAGUGUGAAAGCCCCCGGCUCAACUGGGGAGGGUCACUCGAUACUGAUCGACUCGAAGGCAGGAGAGGGAAGUGGAAUUCCCGGUGUAGUGGUGAAAUGCGUAGAUAUCGGGAGGAACACCAGUGGCGAAGGCGACUUCCUGGCCUGUUCUUGACGCUGAGGCGCGAAAGCUAGGGAGCAAACGGG
rnacentral:rRNA from 1 species